rnacentral:rRNA from 1 species
GACGAACGCUGGCGGCGUGCUUAACACAUGCAAGUCGAACGAGAGGCGAACGGGUGAGUAAUGUAUGGGGAUCUGCCCGAUAGAGGGGGAUAACUACUGGAAACGGUGGCUAAUACCGCAUACUAUCGGAUGAACCCAUAUGGGAUUAGCUAGUAGGGGGGGAAAAGGCUCACCUAGGCGACGAUCUCUAGCUGGUCUGAGAGGAUGAUCAGCCAAACGGGGACGGAGACACGGCCCAGACUCCUAAGUGAGGACGCAGUGGGGAAUCUUGCACAAUGGGCGCAAGCCUGAUGCAGCCAUGCCGCGUGUAUGAAGAAGGCCUUAGGGUUGUAAAGUACUUUCAGCGGGGAGGCGUUACCCGCAGAAGAAGCACCGGCUAACUCCGUGCCAGCCGCCGCGGUAAUAC